GACGAACGCUGGCGGCGUGCUUAACACAUGCAAGUCGAACGGAAAGGCCCUGCUUUUGUGGGGUGCUCGAGUGGCGAACGGGUGAGUAACACGUGAGUAACCUGCCCUUGACUUUGGGAUAACUUCAGGAAACUGGGGCUAAUACCGGAUAGGAGCUCCUGCUGAAUGGUGGGGGUUGGAAAGUUUCGGCGGUUGGGGAUGGACUCGCGGCUUAUCAGCUUGUUGGUGGGGUAGUGGCUUACCAAGGCUUUGACGGGUAGCCGGCCUGAGAGGGUGACCGGCCACAUUGGGACUGAGAUACGGCCCAGACUCCUACGGGAGGCAGAAGUGGGGAAUAUUGCACAAUGGGCGGAAGCCUGAUGCAGCAACGCCGCGUGCGGGAUGACGGCCUUCGGGUUGUAAACCGCUUUCGCCUGUGACGAAGCGUGAGUGACGGUAAUGGGUAAAGAAGCACCGGCUAACUACGUG
rnacentral:rRNA from 1 species